CGGCGCAUCAUUUUGACUCAUU
rnacentral:miRNA from 1 species